AAUGAACGUUGGCGGCGUGGAUUAGGCAUGCAAGUCGUACGCUCCGCAAGGGGCGUGGCGCAAGGGUGAGUAAGGCGACGGUAACCAACCCCGAGGCCGGGCAUAGCCGCGCGAAAGUGCGGGUAAUUCCCGGCGACCUUGCGAGGGGGCAUCUCCUUGCAAGUAAAGGUGCGAUUCCGCCUCGGGACGGGCCGUCGUGGUAUUAGGUUGUUGGCGGGGUAACGGCCCACCAAGCCUACGAUGCCUACCGGGCGUGCGAGCGUGGCCCGGCACACUGGGACUGAGACACUGCCCAGACACCUACGGGUGGCUGCAGUCGAGAAUCUUCGGCAAUGGGCGAAAGCCUGACCGAGCGACGCCGCGUGAGGGAAGAAGGCCUUCGGGUUGUAAACCUCUUUCGUAGAGGAGGAAGGGGCCGUGCAGAGCGGUCUUUGACCUAUUCUAGGAAGAAGCUUGGGCUAAGUUCGUGCCAGCAGCCGCUGUAAAAC
rnacentral:rRNA from 1 species